GAAGACAACAUAUUUAUUAUUUUUCUUCAGAAUACUUGCUGUUGUUUUGUGUUGAGAGAACCUGAAGUAUGGGAUAAUGCCUUCAGGCUUUAAAAGCACAAUGCGGUAACUAAUACUGUUAUGUUAUGGCAAGUUUGGGGCCAAGUGAUUUCUGAGAGAGACCAGACUAAGUAGGAUUAUUGCUAUGGAUAUUAAGACAGGGAAGAGGAAAGCCAUGUAUGCAGUCUUGAGCUCAUGGGAAGAAAGAACUGAGAAGAGUGACAAUUAAUCAGUGAUCUGAGAACAGCCCCCAUCAGCAGUGAAGAAGAUCAGCCUGAAAAGAGACUUGAUGUGAAAAUGAACCUAGUUCUGCAAUCAAAGUUUGUAAUAAAAUGCG